CAAAAGGUAGUUUUAAUUUUGUAAAAUUCUGGCUUUGGGGGCUAGAGAUGAGGGUGGUCCCCUUCCUUUUGA
rnacentral:tRNA from 1 species